GAGCACGAAGGUUGGCUAAUCCUGGUCGGACAUCAGGAGGUUAGUGCAAUGGCAUAAGCCAGCUUGACUGCGAGCGUGACGGCGCGAGCAGGUGCGAAAGCAGGUCAUAGUGAUCCGGUGGUUCUGAAUGGAAGGGCCAUCGCUCAACGGAUAAAAGGUACUCCGGGGAUAACAGGCUGAUACCGCCCAAGAGUUCAUAUCGACGGCGGUGUUUGGCACCUCGAUGUCGGCUCAUCACAUCCUGGGGCUGAAGUAGGUCCCAAGGGUAUGGCUGUUCGCCAUUUAAAGUGGUACGCGAGCUGGGUUUAGAACGUCGUGAGACAGUUCGGUCCCUAUCUGCCGUGGGCGCUGGAGAACUGAGGGGGGCUGCUCCUAGUACGAGAGGACCGGAGUGGACGCAUCACUGGUGUUCGGGUUGUCAUGCCAAUGGCACUGCCCGGUAGCUAAAUGCGGAAGAGAUAAGUGCUGAAAGCAUCUAAGCACGAAACUUGCCCCGAGAUGAGUUCUCCCUGAGACUUAGAGUCUCCUGAAGGAACGUUGAAGACGACGACGUUGAUAGGCCGGGUGUGUAAGCGCAGCGAUGCGUUGAGCUAACCGGUACUAAUGAACCGUGAGG
rnacentral:rRNA from 1 species